UCCGUAACACUUAUCAUUUCACCGUGUUAUGUCAGUGGCAUCAUGACCUGCAUAAAGGAAAUAUUCUAUAUAAGCCCGCGCGUAAAAGUCGCUCGCUUGGUCGAUGCAGCUUUCACCUCCUGCAGAUGUAGUGAGACAGGAAUCCAGCGGACUUCCAAUAGUUCAUCACAGCGCGUAUGUGUGUGACCCGCCCCCGAGCCACAGGUUGCCAGUGAGCACGUUUCCAGGGUUUUACACUUUUUAAUCAAAGACCAAGUCAUCAGACCCUCAUUGUGAAAAUGAAGUCGGGAGGCUCCGUCUGACUGACCAAGGUGUGGAAUGUGAAACCUUUAUCCGCUGAAUCAAGAGGACCCUCGUAGCCUAACUGAUAUUUGGUUCUCAGGAGCCAAUGACAUUGAUGUGGGAAUAAAAAAAUCUGGUUAGAUAUGAACUGAUUAUUUAUAUAUUUAUAUGCUGGACAUACAAAUACAGUUACACUUUUAUCAUAAAUGACAACUAACAAUUUGGAGACAGUGGAUUCCUAACAGAUUAAUCAUCUGGUCAGAGUAUCUGUAGAAUACUGUAAUUGCUGGACCAAAUCUGUAAUGAUAGGUAUCAAGAUUAACUCCUGUCUGUGGUACUAGAUGUUGGCUGAAGAGUGACACAAGAAGACGUUCAUGAUGUUUACUUCCACUUCCACUGUAUCAGUACUUACUUCAUUGUUUCUGUACGCUUUGUGGUAUCAAU